GUGUCAGCAGCCGCGGUGAUACGUAGGGUGCAAGCGUUGUCCGGAUUUAUUGGGCGUAAAGAGCUCGUAGGCGGUUCGAUAAGUCGGGUGUGAAAUCUCCAGGCUCAACCUGGAGUCGCCACUCGAUACUGUCGUGACUCGAGUCCGGUAGGGGACCAUGGAAUUCCUGGUGUAGCGGUGAAAUGCGCAGAUAUCAGGAGGAACACCAGUAGCGAAGGCGGUGGUCUGGGCCGGUACUGACGCUGAGGAGCGAAAGCGUGGGGAGCGAACAGGAUUAGAAACCCUCGUAGUCC
rnacentral:rRNA from 1 species